CCUGUGGUGGAAGAAGCUCCCCUGGAUGAAGAACCGGUAAAAGAGGCACCGAUGACGCAAAAGGAACCUGCCUUUUUGGUCUCUUAUUACAUGGGCAAGUUAAAAUGAAGAAGUGAGUUAUUCAGCUGGAGUUUGUGGAACUUGUUUUACAGAUACUGUUCUUCUUCUGAUAGUUUUCUGAGAUAAAAUAGAAAACUUCGGCAGGUCUUGGCAUUUUGUGUAAAGAAGCCCAUCUCAGAUCUCAGAAGGAGUAGUGGUCAUCAAAAUGAUUGCCUAAGUACCAAUGAUUGGACCUGAUCAUGAAAUACUGUAGAGUUUUGAAAUCUUUUCUAUUUGCUCACUAGGCUGAGUUAACUUUCUUGCAAGUCUUAUUAUUACUGUAUUUUAGUAUUUUAGAAUAGAAGACAAAAUGUUAUCGCCUCAAAGAGCUUAAAUGCUUGAUAGAUGAGAGAGAAGGCAGUACGGUGAUCUAAAACACGCAAGGACAAAAWUCAUAAUUAUGUUGAGAUGGAGGUGACGCUUGUUGUGGCUGCAGAAAUGACUGGUGCUGGGUGUCAGUAAAAGGUGGUGCUGCAGGUGGUGUGAGGGGAGGGAGCAAUCUCCAGCACCUUAGCAAACGGGGCUUGAAAUUUGUGCCCCCUUGCCAUGUGUUACAUAGGCAUUUGAGGUGUUCACUUCUGAGAUCUGGGAAGCUGCUUGGGCAUCACCCUCUCCCUCUUAAUUCAGAGGGACCAGACCACACUGGUCCCUCCUAAAAUUUCAUUGUGCAGGAUAGGCUGUUKCUGGGCUCAUUAUAAUGCUGGUGUGGUGGAAAGAUGCUUGAAAGCUUCCUGGAGACUGACUUUUCUCAAAAAGUGAAGGAACUGCAGACUGAUGUGGUACUUCUGAUCCAUAAAUAGCUAUCUUUCAAUGGAGGAUUUGAAAUGGUAAACAGGAGACCUUAUCAAUCAUUAAAAUUUGUGCUAGGAGAAGGCUUCAAAAGAAAUGUAUUUUUAUCUAAAUUGCCACUAAGAUUCCCAGUAUCUCUUAUUCUGKGAAAUUUCCUGUUUUACUUUUACCAUGUUUGGUUUUCAGUGCUGGAUAAAUUUUCCUUAAUUUCURUUCUCUUAAAAGGAAAAGUUUUAACCCCUUCAUGAUGGAAAAUGGGGAAGAAAUCUUAGUCYUGAGCUCUGAAAUGGAUGCAACUUCCAAAUUGCAACCUUCUCCAUUUCCAUUCUUAAAAAGAUGUUAACCCUCUAAUGGCUUGGGGCUGAAAUUAAGUGCAUUUCACUCAAAAUGUCACUUUAUCUUUUGAGAAUAUUACUAAGUCAAUUUGUUUCAUGGAGUGUUGGUUUUAAGUGUAUUUCCCUAUUUUAGCCUUCAGUUAGAAAAAUGAAUUUAACCUGAAUAAAUUCAUUUGGUUUCAUUCAGGAUAUUUUAUACAAUUCUGAAGCUUUAAUUUUUAUGGAAAAAAGGUUGUUGUAUGUAAUUGCCAUUACUACUUAGAUUUUUUUUUUUCCUUUUUCCUCAUCCUUGGAUGUAUUUCCUGCUCUGUAAGUGCUGCAGUUUGCUCUCUGGUAUCUGCAGUUACCUUCAGCUUUAUAUAUGUCUG